UUUUCGCUUUUAUAACGGUUAGGCGAACAACUGGGCCUGGUACUAGUUGUCUGUGCAUGCGUCAGUCGUUGGUCAGAUUCUGACGAAUGGAUAUUCUCGUUCACUUUCGUGACAUUUAUAUUCGUGUACUAUCGUGUACUAGAAGUCAGUUCCCGUUUUAUCAUUAUUGGAAUCGAUUGGAAUGGCUCUUAGCUGAAGCUUCUCUCUUCUCUGAAGCUUAUUCUGAAGACUGAACAACAAGGGAAGAGGUAUAAAGCUUUGUCAAGCUUGUUAAGGUCAGAUAUUUUUGUGUGGGCCCUAUGGCCGGCUAGGCUAUGCUAUCAAGUCUUGUUCAUGUUUGGCAAGAAUGUAGGUAGACUAUAGUUUCAUCAUUAAUAUGGUGGAUCAAGUGAAGAGUGUGAGCUAGAGAACUUGGUGCUGCCAUCAUCAGCUUGUCGACAAUGACACUAUAACCGAGAAAUUUAAUAUGUAUAGAUCUACACGUAUUUAAAAUGUCUACUUCUCUGUACAGGAGCAAUGGCUAAUAUCCAGCUAUCCCAACAGUGCUCCUCUUGGCUAUACUAACGGACGAGACUGGACAGUUUGAGACACAGGACUGGAGUAUGACCUGCUCAUUCGAGCGUUGCUGGGUAGCUCAGAGACAUCAAGAGAAUCUACGUUUUCUCAAGUAAUGAGUUACGAGUUGGGGCCUAGAAUCAGAGAAGUCCAGCAGCCUGCUAAAUCUUUUUGAAACGUAAUUUGAAGGCAUUCAAUCAUCCUGAAGUUGCCCUGGGUCACUGUAAUUGUGCUGCAGCACAACUGGCAACUCCCCAGGCCUUUGUGAAGCAGCUCCCUAUGUGCAUCUUUUGUGUACUCACUCUGUGCAUUUUCUGUGUACAAAUUUCUAUUAUUGAUUUAUUAAA